rnacentral:rRNA from 1 species
UACGGAGGGAGCUAGCGUUGUUCGGAAUUACUGGGCGUAAAGCGCACGUAGGCGGCUUUGUAAGUUAGAGGUGAAAGCCCGGGGCUCAACCCCGGAAUUGCCUUUAAGACUGCAUCGCUUGAAUCCGGGAGAGGUGAGUGGAAUUCCGAGUGUAGAGGUGAAAUUCGUAGAUAUUCGGAAGAACACCAGUGGCGAAGGCGGCUCACUGGACCGGUAUUGACGCUGAGGU